CUGCAGUUGUUAGAGCAGCUCUCUGUAGACUCUUCAGAUGUUUUUUGGAGCAGGGAAACAACGCUUUUCCCCAUACGUGGAAUGACUGUCUGCUCUGCUCUUUGUAAAAAUUGUGUUGAUAACAGCUUUUUGGAUGGCCAGGGGUCUUUAUCUCGGUUCCGUAGAGAAGCAAGAUCGUUUUCAUAGGGUGGGCAACUUGUCCGUGUCCAUGCCGUUUUGUUUGACAAAGGGACGACGUCACUCACCAAUAAUGUUUUCCCAGUUCCAUGUCUAUGCUAUACAUCUGCACCAAUGCUGGAUGCGAGGAAGUAUUCUCUUAAGAUGACAUUAACGCACAAGAAAUUCAAGGACACAAUGUUGAGAGGUUUUGAAGCAAGUGAUCACGGCACAACAGAUAAUAUGGAACUUCGAGUGCAUAUUAGAAUUCGGACCCUAUGGAGUCCGAUUCUAACAGACCAAAGACUUAUUGGAUGAUUUAUAAAGUCGGAAAUGUU